CGUUCCUGGCAAGCUGCUAUUCGAAGUGGCGAACUAUUUAAGGCAAGACAGGAGGUCAAAUCAUCUGAGGAAUUUUUAUGCAUCUGUGCUUUUGAUCCUGAUAAUUUAUGGCAGCUUUAUGAUCCUAUGCGUGAUCUUUGGAUUACUCUCCCUGUUCUUCCAUCAAACAUCAGACAUCUGGCACACUUUGGUGUGGUAUCUACUGCUGGAAAACUCUUUGUUCUAGGUGGUGGUAGUGAUGCUGUGGAUCCAUUGACUGGUGACCAAGAUGGAAGUUUUGCCACUGAUGAGGUCUGGUCAUAUGACCCGGUAACCCGAGAAUGGAGUCUGUGUGCG
rnacentral:misc_RNA from 1 species